rnacentral:rRNA from 1 species
GGAAACAGUUGCUAAGACUGGAUAGGAAAUUAAGAGGCAUCUUUUAAUUUUUAAAAGACCUUUUUCGAAAGGUAUACUUAAAGAGGGGCUUGCGCCACAUUAGUUAGUUGGUAAGGUAAAGGCUUACCAAGACGAUGAUGUGUAGCUGGACUGAGAGGUCGAACAGCCACAUUGGGACUGAGACACGGCCCAAACUCCUACGGGAGGCAGCAGUAAGGAAUUUUUGGCAAUGGAGGAAACUCUGACCGAGCGACGCCGCGUGAACAAUGAAGUACUUCGGUAUGUAAAGUUCUUUUAUUGAAAAAGAAAAAAUAGUGGAAAAACUAUCCUGACAUUAUUCAAUGAAUAAGCCCCGGCUAAUUAUGUGCCAGCAGCCGCGGUAAUACAUAAGGGGCGAGCGUUAUCCGGAAUUAUUGGGCGUAAAGGGUGCGUAGGCGGUUUGAUAAGUCUAUAGUUUAAUUACAGUGCUUAACGCUGUACCGCUAUAGAAACUGUCUGACUAGAGUUAGAUAGAGGCAAGCGGAAUUCCAUGUGUAGCGGUAAAAUGCGUAAAUAUAUGGAGGAACACCAGAGGCGUAGGCGGCUUGCUGGGUCUUAACUGACGCUGAGGCACGAAAGCGUGGGGAGCAAACAGGAUUAGAUACCCUGGUAGUCCACGCCGUAAACGAUGAGUACUAAGUGUCGGGUUUCUGCUCGGUACUGAAGUUAACACAUUAAGUACUCCGCCUGAGUAGUACGUACGCAAGUAUGAAACUUAAAGGAAUUGACGGGACCCCGCACAAGCGGUGGAUCAUGUUGUUUAAUUCGAAGAUACACGAAAAACCUUACCAGGUCUUGACAUAAUUUUGCGACAUUAUAGAAAUAUAAUGAAGGUUAUCAGAAUUACAGGUGGUGCAUGGUUGUCGUCAGCUCGUGUCGUGAGAUGUUAGGUUAAGUCCUAAAACGAGCGCAACCCUUGUCGUUAGUUGCGACCACAUAAUGGUGAGCACUUUAGCGAGACUGCCAAUGAAAAAUUGGAGGAAGGUGAGGAUUACGUCAAAUCAUCAUGCCCCUUAUGAUCUGGGCUACAAACGUGAUACAAUGGCUGUUACAAAGAGUAGCUACAACGUGAGUUUUUAGCCAAUCUCAAAAAAACAGUCUCAGUUCGGAUUGAAGUCUGCAACUCGACUUCAUGAAGUUGGAAUCGCUAGUAAUCGCGAAUCAGCAUGUCGCGGUGAAUACGUUCUCGGGGUUUGUACACACCGCCCGUCAAACCACGAAAGUUGAUAAUACCCGAAAGCGGUCGCCUAACUUCGUCAGAAGAGGGAGCCGUCUAAGGUAGGAUCGAUGAUUGGGGUUAAGUCGUAACAAGGUAUCCCUACCGGAAGGUGGGGAUGGAUCACCUCCUUUCUAAGGAAACAUAAAAUCAUCAUCUUCAGUUUUGAAAGACUUAGUUAGGUUUUUCUAAUUUGAAAAAC